AUUGAACGCUGGCGGCAGGCUUUACACAUGCAAGUCGAACGAGUGGCGGACGGGUGAGUAAUGCAUGGGAACCUGGCUAAUGGCGGGGGAUAACUACUGGAAACUGUAGCUAAUACCGCGUACUAUAGGAUCAGCCCAAGUUGGAUUAGGUAGUUGGUGAGGUAAAGGCUCACCAAGCCGACGAUCCCUAGCUGGUCUGAGAGGAUGACCAGCCACACUGGGACUGAGACACGGCCCAGACUCCUACGGGAGGCAGCAGUGGGGAAUAUUGCGCAAUGGGGGAAACCUGACGCAGCCAUGCCGCGUGAAUGAAGAAGGCCUUCGGGUUGUAAAGUUCUUUCGGUAGCGAGGCGGUAACUAAAGAAGAAGCACCGGCUAACUCCGUGCCAGCCGCCGCGGUAAUUG
rnacentral:rRNA from 1 species